GUUUUUGCUGGUGGAGCAUCAUCAAGAUUCACAUAGCAUUUUUAGGGCUUUUUAGCCCUAUGGUUUAUUGAUAUGGGAAUCUUGAUGAUGCUGCAGCGGCGAAAAA
rfam:Nicotiana sylvestris Nsyl_contig1291, whole genome shotgun sequence.